rnacentral:rRNA from 1 species
CAGUAGCCGCGGUAAUACGAAGGGUGCAAGCGUUACUCGGAAUUACUGGGCGUAAAGCGUGCGUAGGUGGUGGUUUAAGUCCGUUGUGAAAGCCCUGGGCUCAACCUGGGAAUUGCAGUGGAUACUGGGUCACUAGAGUGUGGUAGAGGAUAGUGGAAUUUCCGGUGUAGCGGUGAAAUGCGUAGAGAUCGGAAGGAACAUCUGUGGCGAAGGCGACUAUCUGGGCCAACACUGACACUGAGGCACGAAAGCGUGGGGAGCAAACAGGAUUAGAUACCCCGGUAGUCCCUGUCUCUUAUAC